GAACAAGUUACUUGGAGUCUAUUAAUUAAAGCAUUCCCUGCUAGGUUCAUAAGAGCAAACACGCUUAAUAUUCAUUACAUUGUCCAUUUAUAAGAAAAUAAUGAUUCACAUUUUAAAUGGUAAUUUUUCCCUCUGUGAAUUGAUAAAUUUCUUCACUGCUGAAAAAUAGUUGUGAUUUUUAAUGUAUUCAUGCCUCACAAAUUAUAUAGAUGAUAUGUCUUCAAACAGGCUCACUACCCCUUCCUGCCCCCCCCAUUUUUCCCUAUUCUAACUACACACGAGAAAGAUAGACUUUGUUUAAAUAUUGGAUUUGUGAUUUUCUUAAUCCAAUAUUAGUCUAAGGUUAAGGCAGCUUUGAUAGUUACUUUUCCAAAAAUGUUUUACGUCCAAAAUUCUUAGAGGAGACCUUCGGUUUCAGCCAAUACUUUUCAACUUUACUUAAGUUAUGAUCAGAAGUAUUAGAAAUAUAUGGUGAAAUUAAAUUAUGCUUUAAUUCACUUCACACCCUUGGUGACAAUUUGUAUUUGUAGAUGACUUUUUAAACUAUAGUUUUUACAAACUAUGUUUUUAUGGAUGUUAAAGCAGAAAUAAACAGACUUCAUUUUUUCAAAUCUAGCCUGCUGCUUAUGUAAAGUGACCAUAUGCCCUGGCUUACCAGCAACUGUUCUGGUUAAUAUCUGUUGUUCUGGCUAAUUAUUAAUAGGGCUCCUGUUUAAUCUAAAAAAUGUUCUGGUUUUGGUUAUAAAUCAUAUGAUCAGAAGCUUUAAGGAAUUUGAAGUAUAAACUAAUAAAAAAAGGUCAUUUUUAAAAUGACCUUUUGUAGUCAGGAGUAUUUCCUUCUCAACUAUGUACAGACCUAUCUAAACUUUAAAAAAAAUAAUAUUAUGGUAUAGAUAAUAUAAGCAAUAAUAUUAUUUGAUUUAUUGAUAGUACUCUGAAAUUCCUGAGUUUAGAAGUAGUUUGUUUAAUACUGACAGGAAAUGAAUUCAGGAACAAUUAGUGAUGGUAAGAAACAAAGUGCUUUUCCUAUAUAUCUUCUCUUUUGAAGCUAAAUAUAACUGUCAUAAAAUUAGAGCAGGACCAGUUUUCAUCUUUCUAGAGAAGUUGAGAAAUUAGGUGGUUUGACUAGCAUUAUAUGUACAAACUAAUAGAUAAGUUGAUCCAAGACUUCAGACCCAAUCUUCUUGCUAUAAAUCCUAUAGCUAUGCUCUCUGCAGCAUACCCUACUAGUUUUGAGUAGUAAAUUUAUUUAAAACUUAUCCUGUGCUUUUAAAUUUUUUAAUUUAGAAAAUAUUUUUGAGAAAAUAACCAAAUAAAGUUUCUGAAUUUUGAUUAAAAAUUUCUAUUACCUACAGGCAGUUCUGGUACAUUUUUUUAUUUACUUCAGAAAGCUUUACAUUUUAUGAGGUUACUAAAAGGACUCAGGGUUGGAGUGAAGCACCUAUUUUAGAUUUUUUUGCAAUUAUAAUUGUAUUUCAUAGUAAUUAUGGCACACGUGCCUUUUUAUUUGUCUUAUAAUAGGUGUAGAUAUUUGAGAGAUGAAUAUAAAUUGACUUAAUAGAAUUGGCAAACAUGUUCAUAUUAGCCUUUCUCAAAUCUAGAGAAUCCCAAGCUGUGGAUUCUUCUAUAAAGUAAAUUUAAAACUAAAUAGAUUAAAGGACCUUGAGUUAUGUUGUAAUCUUAGAAGGGACCAGAGCAGGAAGUGCUCCAAAAAAUUGUGACAAUUGUGUGUUCUACAAUCAGUGAUGGCGUAUAGCCAUUCCCAGCAUAUGGUACUUGGUAAGUCCUGAGCUGGGAGAUAGGACCAGGGUUUAAGCUCUGGCCCUAUCUCUGAUUAUCUGCUUUUUUUUCUAGACAAGUGUUAUUCCCCAAUUGAAAAAUGAGAAUAUUCAUGGUUACAGUGUCCAAAAGAGUUGUUGUAAGACUUCAUAGAAGUUUGAAGCAGCAUGCCUAUUGAGCAAGCAGAGUGGUGGAAGAAGAACCUUUCCUAUUGGGAACAGAAGGCAUGUGCAAAGGUUCUGCUCUGGAGCAUCACUGUGAAUUCUGGAAACUGUUUCUACAGUCUGUGGAACAUGGAAUCAAACCAGAAUAUGUUGGCAUAACAGGCCCGUCAAACCGGUUCUUCUGUAGAUCCAGAACCCGUCCAACCAGUCUGCAUCAAAGGCUCGCCCAACAAGCUGCAGCGGCUCAGCUCUGCUAAGCCUGUACCGGAUUGAGAGGAGAGACCAGAAUGUAAGAUGCAAACUCAAGAAAUCUACCCAGAAUUGUGGCAAAGAAAAAACAGACUCAAGUCAUUCAGUUGGUACCAAAGCCAGAUUUCCUCCAAGCAUCUGUACCUUAGGGGAAGAAAGAACAGAAAUUUAGGAACUCAAGAGAUCUGGGUAGGAGCUCAAAUCAGCAGCCUGAUCUUCACAAGGGCAAUCUAAAGGGGGCAGUGCAGGGUGGGAGAGGG